rnacentral:lncRNA from 1 species
GUAAGUAUUUAGUGAUUGGCUCUGGGAAAAACAAUUAUAGUAUUUGCCUAUUUUUGUAGGGCAAUGGCUUACAGCAGCCACUAGAGGGAUCUCUGUUUUCAAGCCACUAGAGAGACAUCAUUGAACACAAGCUGGGAAGGGUGCGCUGAUAGGCACCAUUGUUCAGAGUGUCUACUACACAGAUGAGACAGACGUCAAUAGCCUCAGGAGUACAGGAGAGGGUCAGGCUGUCUGAUUCUGAGUAUUCUGAAGAGCAUGCAGUCACAGACGCUGGAGGACCCAGGCUGCGGACACUGCCCGGAGAAUUACGUGAAUUAUUUUUAGGACUUCUGUUUAGCUGAAUGCAUUCCUUUGCAGGGAAUUUAAAGUGCUUCAUUCAGCUGUCCUUUAAUUGUCAGCUGGGGAGGCACAGAAUUAUCACCUCAUUUCAUGAAUGAGGAGGCUGGAGAAGCUUGACUCAUUCAAGGCCACUCAGGUGGCU